CGGGGCGUGGCGCAGCCUGGUAGCGCACCUGCUUCGGGAGCAGGGGGUCGGAGGUUCGAAUCCUCUCGCCCCGA
rnacentral:tRNA from 1 species